rnacentral:piRNA from 1 species
UAACCACUACUAGAAGUGGCAGUGCAAUGGU